CAGCUGGGAAAUGCAGAGCUCAAGUGAUCCCCCACCCUCCUGUCAAACAAAUAAACAGGUGAAACAAACUGCAGCUGGGGGAAUUUCAUGGUGGCUUUUCUCCUGCAGCUAGCACAGGAGCAAGGCUGGAAGGGAUGAAUGUGACGUGCCAAAUUGCUGCAUACUUACUAAGCUGUGGUCAAGAGAAAUUUGGUAAGGAGUGGUAGUGCCUGCCCUGGAGCAGCUGAUACAGCUGGAGCUGUCAGGUGUUUGCUCAGACACACAACCCAUUCUGGGCUGAAGAUUUAGCUGCAAAGUCCAGUACAGGAACAAUGUGAGAAUAAAGGUUCAUUUAAGUUUGACAAGCCAAAAAUGUUUUCAUUUGGAUGAAAACCUGAAAAACAUCAUGAGCUGGAGCACAACUACUUGGCUCUCCAAAAUGGGAACCACUUUGUCCAUCGAUUUCCCUCCCAAUAAUUGCUGGGUGAGUCAGAGUGAGGUCCACCUCAGACAGAUGACAACUAGGACAAGAGAAGAAUUGAUCAAGUAAAAAGGACUUAGCCAUGUUCUCAAAUAUUGUAGAGCUGGUUGGAGCUUGGAAAUACUUUCCUGGGCUUUCAACUUGUUCUUGCCUGCUUCAUUAUGUCAAAUUAUCCAGAAAAGCUACAAAUGACUGAGAUGCAAGGAAUGGUCUUGGUACCAGUAAAGACUGAGCAGAUGCUGGUCUCCUUCCUGUUGCUGCUCAUACAUGAGAGGUUCUCCUGGCUAAAGAAUUGUCUCAAAAUACUGCAAUGAGCACCUGCCUCUCACAACCACUGUGAAGAUUGCCUAAAGUUAGAGCAAUGCCUUGAAGACAAAUCUGAUUGCUGCAACAUCCCUCUCCUGGAAAGCACGGAAAUGUCCUUACUGAGCCAGAGCAAAGGUCCAGCACACCCAGCCAUGGCUGCAGCAGAAAAGCCUCCUCCACUGGAGCAGCUAGUCCCAUUUGAAGCCUUUCAUCUUGGGUAAUCAAUGACUAUUUCCUUAUGAAAUAUCUGAAGUGGAGCACAGAGAUGCCACUAACAACUUGCUGAGUUAAAUCAAAGUGACAGCAGACAGCUAAGAUGUGAGUGCAGGUCCCUCUUUUCUGUAAGAAAAGUUUGUAUGUGAAGUUUGGAAGGCUUCCAUCCAUGAUUCACGUUGGCCUUCCAAUGCUCUAAUGCUCCUAAUACUUGCCCGUGAGUGUACCUACUUGUAAAUAAAUUAGGCUGAAAUAUUAGACUGCACCUGAGCCAAGUAAUUUCUUUCCCGGCAGUGAGAUCCUCCAGUUCUGCAGCCCAGCAUUUCCCGGCCAGUGCAAUAAUCACCAUAUUUUACAGGCUCAGCUGAGGUGGCUUACUGGGACUGUUUGGUAUCCACUCUUGUUUUCAUUCACUUCAGUUCAGUGUCCCCCAAUUUAUGUCAGAAAUGGGAGCCCAAAACUUCAGCAAUUCCUGCUCUGAGUUCUAAUUUACAGCUAUUCAUGCAAGAGGGAACUCAGAUUUCUUAUUUCUGUAAAUAAUUUAUUAUUAUUUUUUUUUUUACAUUUUUUAUUUUUAUCUCCAUAUAUUGUUUGCAAACCAAAAUAUUGUGACAAGUUGGGAGCUCCUUGUUUUAUGAUCAGCAUUAAGGAAAACAACUCGCAAAAACCUUGUAAAACCAGAAAAGGGUAGACUUCUAUUUCAUCCAUUCCUAACAGAUCUGUGCAAUGUAAGUUGGUUUUUAUAUAAUAUAAUUUUUAACGUAAUUUUCAUUUUAAAA